rnacentral:misc_RNA from 1 species
UAGGAUGCUCACAGUCAGCUAUUG